AUGACAGUGUUUAUUGUUCUUCUGGGUGGCUGCGAGCGCAUGUCCCGUAGGCCAUAUGAUGUUUAUCUUUACACUAACAAUUUCAUGUUUGGCCGACACACUGAGAAGCAAAAACUCUUGAGCUUCUUGUUGGAGCACAACAACCCUCCUUGUGAUCAUGCACCGGCAGUUCUUCCGAUCAUAGGUGGUGUUGGAGUUGAAAAGAAAACCUUGGUUGCUCAUGUGUGUGUCGACGAAAGGGUUCAGUCACACUUCUCCUCUAUUUUGCACUUGAAUGGACAUGACCUCUUGACCAUACUUGACCAUGGAAGGACCAUGUUUGGGAAGAUGUUGGUAGUUAUUGAGUUUGCUUCUGAUGUAGACGAUGAUGAAUGGAAAAAGUUUCACCUGUUUCUCGGAAAAAUGAGCAGAGGAAGCAAGAUCAUCAUCAUAAGUAAAGUUAAAAGAUUAGAACGGUUUGGAUCGGUGCAGCCUAUUUACCUAAGUGUUCUGUCUUAUGACGAGUUGAGGUACCUUUUCAAGACACUGGCAUUCAGGAGUGUAGACCCCGCAGAACAUCCACGGCUAGUGCAACUAGUAGAUGACUUUGCCAAGGUGUUGCUCAAUGCGUCAAAUACACUUCUCGGAACAAAUAUACUCAAGGAUGUCUUGAGAAUGAACCUCAGUGUUCAGUAUUGGAGCUGCAUAUUGGACAAGGUGCUAAGACACAUUAAAAGAAACCUCUCGAUAUUUGGUGCACAUUCAAGCAUGCUUAUAGAGCAAGGCCAUCCAGUGGACAUAACGGACUAUGCUUUGCAUCCCCUUAGCAUGAUACCCCUGACAACUAAUGUUUCAAUCAAGAAGGAAUUGCCAAGUCUGAGACUUUGUGAACUUAUCAGAGAUCCUAGUGUUACACCAAAACAAGACUUCAUUCUAGUUGCAUGGGAAUCAAGGGUACCGCCUCAUAGAUCAUUUCGCCUUUUUGUUAAGAGUUGUGCUCAGGGUAGUGAUGGCAGUGCCUUGCCAGGGAGGAAGCGAAGAGGAGCACCAAGCUAA
rnacentral:rRNA from 1 species